GUUUGAUCAUGGCUCAGGAUGAACGCUGGCGGCGUGCCUAACACAUGCAAGUCGAACGAAGCAAUUUAACGGAAGUUUUCGGAUGGAAGUUGAAUUGACUGAGUGGCGGACGGGUGAGUAACGCGUGGGUAACCUGCCUUGUACUGGGGGACAACAGUUAGAAAUGACUGCUAAUACCGCAUAAGCGCACAGUAUCGCAUGAUACAGUGUGAAAAACUCCGGUGGUACAAGAUGGACCCGCGUCUGAUUAGCUAGUUGGUAAGGUAACGGCUUACCAAGGCGACGAUCAGUAGCCGACCUGAGAGGGUGACCGGCCACAUUGGGACUGAGACACGGCCCAAACUCCUACGGGAGGCAGCAGUGGGGAAUAUUGCACAAUGGGCGAAAGCCUGAUGCAGCGACGCCGCGUGAGUGAAGAAGUAUUUCGGUAUGUAAAGCUCUAUCAGCAGGGAAGAAAAUGACGGUACCUGACUAAGAAGCCCCGGCUAACUACGUGCCAGCAGCCGCGGUAAUACGUAGGGGGCAAGCGUUAUCCGGAUUUACUGGGUGUAAAGGGAGCGUAGACGGUAAAGCAAGUCUGAAGUGAAAGCCCGCGGCUCAACUGCGGGACUGCUUUGGAAACUGUUAACUGGAG
rnacentral:rRNA from 1 species